rnacentral:rRNA from 1 species
CACGUAGGGGGCGAGCGUUGUCCGGAUUUAUUGGGCGUAAAGAGCUCGUAGGUGGUUCGGUAAGUCGGGUGUGAAAACUCUGGGCUCAACUCAGAGACGCCACCCGAUACUGCUGUGACUGGAGUCUGGUAGGGGAGUGUGGAAUUCCCGGUGUAGCGGUGAAAUGCGCAGAUAUCGGGAGGAACACCAGUGGCGAAGGCGGCACUCUGGGCCAGUACUGACACUGAGGAGCGAAAGCGUGGGUAGCGAACAGG